GACGAACGCUGGCGGCGUGCCUAAUACAUGCAAGUCGAGCGGCCGCUUCGAAAGCUUGCUCUUGUAUCGUUAGCGGCGCACGGGUGAGUUACAUGUGGGCAUCCUCUCCUGUAGACGGUGAUAACACCGAGAACUCGUUGCUACUACCGGCUAACACGAAAUGUCGCAUGACGUUCCUUUGAACUGCCGCUCUAGCUUCCGCUACAGGCUGGUUCGGCGGCGCAUUAGCUAGUUGGUGAGGUAAAGGCUCACCAAGGCGACGAUGAGUAGCCGACCUGAGAGGGUGAUCGGCCACACUGGGACUGAGACACGGCCCAGACUCCUACGGGAGGCAGCAGUAGGGAAUCUUCCGCAAUGGACGAAAGUCUGACGGAGCAACGCCGCGUGAGCGAAGAAGGCCUUCGGGUCGUAAAGCUCUGUUGUUAGGGAAGAACAAGUAACGUAGUAACUGACGUUACGAUGACGGUACCUAAAGAGAAAGCCACGGCUAACUACGUG
rnacentral:rRNA from 1 species